UGUUGUUAAAAUCACCACUUCAAUCCAGUGCAUAAGAGAGUCAAGCUGGGAGUCAGUUUCGUGAAAAUAAUACAGCUUCUGUAUUAUUUUAAAAAUCAUACUUUUAAAACCAAAUACAUUCCAAAGAGAUAAUUGUGUCUAUAAUAAGUACUCUAAAAAACAUAGGGAAUGGUGUUAGUAAGUAAAAUCCUGCCUUAAAUAAAUGAACUUUUUUUUUUGUCUUUUUGCCAUUUCUUGGGCCACUCCCGCAGCAUAUGGAGGUUCCCAGGCAAGGGAUCUAAUCGGAGCUGUAGCCACCGGCAUAUGCCAGAGCCACAGCAACAUGGGAUCUGAACCACGUCUGCAACCUACACCACAGCUCACAGCGAUGCUGGAUCCUUAACCCACUGAGCAAGGCCAGGGAUCGAACCCGCAACCUCAUGGUUCCUAGUUGGAUUCGUUAACCACCACUGAGCCACGAUGGGAACUCCAGAACUUUUUUUUUUUUUUUGGUAAGGAAAAUGGCAGGACUAUACUGGUUUCAUGAAAGAGAUGGAGAAAUCCGGGCGGAAAGGGAAGGUUCUAUAGAACUGACCCCGUACAGCAGGGGGAAUCACGAAGGUCUCCCUGGACUCCUCUUGUUGGAUAAUGCCCCACUGGCAAGUACACUUAGCCAAAGUGCACAUAUUAUUAGCCAGUUUUGUUUUUUUUAAAAUGAACUUUGGCACUGGGUGAAAUUCAUGGGAAAGACAGGCCAGCUUUACUCAUGUGGCUGGGUGGACUGGCCCAGCUCACAGCUGCCAAGCGUUUCUGUUCAGAUUGUUGGCCAUCUAGCUCGAGAGCCCCUGGAAGGGAACCUGUGUCAUCUCCGUGUCCUGUCCCGGGCCUGGCACCCCUUUGGCGCUCUCGAAAUCUGUGAAUAAUGUCUGCCUACACAGCUGAGAGAAAUGCGUCAUCUUCUCAAUUGGGACAUGUCAUCGCUUCCGUGCCCUCCGUACGGUGCAUGCCGGCCAUGGGGGGCUUAAAUGAAAGUGCACUUGUGCUUGUCAAAAUGUCCCCAAAAAGAGACGUGGGGUUUGGAGGCAACCCCCUCUCCACCUCUCACAAGAGCAGCUCAGAGACAAGAGUGCUACAGUUCUGUGUUGAACUUGAAUUUGCAGUCGGUUCCAAGGCACAAUAAUGCCUUCUCUUGGUUGUUUUUUUCUUUUCACAUUACAGUACUUCAUUAUUGCCACAGGGGGAACUGUUGGCUUAAUUUUGCUUUAGAGACACUGCUGCUGAAAUUAUUAAACUAAUGAUUUAUGCCCCCAGUGAUACAGCAAUCUCUUGUGCUUAAAAUGGUUACUAUGUUUUGUUUACUGUUUAUAACUACCAGUGGUUAUGCCACGAAAAGCCCCUGCCAGCUUGCAGGGUUUAUUUAUCCCUGUGGAUCUUUAGAAACCACUGAUUAAUAUAGAAAAAAUUUGAAUGGUUUAUAUUUUUAAAAAUCCCAUAAGCUAUGAAUUAAACCACUGUGCUGUGCUCUAUAGGAGGAAAAUUUCAGUGAGAAUAAACAAUGGAUGUCAAAACCUCCUGCCUCUCGUAUUUGCUUCUGGUUGUAUCAAAGUGGAAAGUAGGAGUGCUUUUCAGGAAUACCGUACUGUGACUCCAUCAGCUUUGGCCUCUGAGAUCACCAGCAUUUCCCCUUGGGUGCCGCACAUUUUACCAUAUUAAGGAACCAAUUUGCUGAGAGAAAUGUUGCACAUGUUUAAAGGCCGUUAAGUUUGAUGGCUGGCAGAACGCUCCCAUUUAGCCCCAAGGCCGGACCUUGGUGAAAGAAGGCUUUACUACCAGCCUGCAUUUUUGUUUUGUUUUGUUUUGAAGUUUGCUUUUUGUCACCAAAGGAUGACACAAGGCAGAUGAACCUUGGGGCAGGGAGGGCUGUGAUUUGUGAGUGUUGAUUUGUUUAAAAUGGCAAAACGGUUCUUACACAAAUGUGUAAGUCUUGACCCUGUUGCCUGUCCAAGAGAAAGAGAGAAAACAUCGCUGUCGGUUUGGGCAGUUUCAGCCCAAUCCUCCACCUUCAGUCUUAGGCAUCACUUGCGGGUACUUCCAUUGCACCUGUCUGCGGGCUCCUGAAUGAGCUCCAUCAGUCCAUCUGGCUUUGUUUCUGCUGCAGGAUAGCCUGUCCAUCUCCCCUACCCCACCCCUGCCGUCUGCUCCGUGUCCCCAGUCCUUCAGUCAUGGGCCAGCUCUGAUGUUCACCCAGCACCUUUAUUCUGUGGUCUGAUGUGGUCCCUUCGAACCAUGGCGUGCUCUUCCCUGAGGCGCCCCACACACCAAGCCAGGCCAUGGUACUGGGGCUGGGUACAGGGACAAACGUUUUUCAGUCGGGCGGUGGUGUCUGUAAAUACAACGAACGUGGACCAUCCUGACUUGAGCAAAUUAAUUUGUAAGCAAGAAAGAGAACAAGGCCCUGAGUAUGGGAACAAAGCAGCAGUCAUAAUGUGAACAUCUGUGUACAGCUUUAUCCUCGGAUAUUCCCUGGGCACAGAACUUUCCAUACCAAAAUGCAGUCAGACGUUUAAGAGAAAGAUAAGUUGGUCAUUGAAACACCACACCAGGGAGUAAUAAGAACUCUUUCAUUCUUCCUCAUAAUGCACUCUUUUCCUUCAUGAAGAUGCAAAUUUUAGCCAUAAAAAUAGUCACAAUAUUAUAACCCAUGUGAAUAUGGAAAACAUAUUAUCCAAGUGGCAAUUUUAAUUGGAAAUAGUUACCUAAUCUCAUACGUAAAUGUCUUCAUUCAGGAUGUAUUUUCAGUUGCUCUUAGAAUUACUCUCCUUCUUGAAUUAGAAAAAUAAAAUGAAAGAAAUAGGAAUUCUGAUGCAGUAUACUCCAAAGAAUUUUUAUAAAUUUCAUGUUUGAUUUUUAUUUUAACACCACAUUUAGGAAACUAAAUCCUAUAUAGCUUAUCAUCAGUGUUUUGCUGAUCAUUUUUUUUUUAAACUUCAAAAUGUGAUUUAAUUACAAAUUAUUUUUAAGUCACAGAAAACCUGAGUACCAGUGUGGUAUGUGAUCUGAAAUUUUAAACAAGCACAAAACAGAUUAAAUAUAAAGCUUAAUAAGCAUAACAGGCAAAAAAAAAAAAUCUGUAAUGUGUAGGAUUUCUAGCAUGAAAAAUUCCAGGCUUCAGCAGAUGUGAAGAUUAGAUUUCUCAGAGUGAAUCAACAGAAUACAUUUUGAAGUAUCCCUAGUGAAAAAGAGUGAAAAUAACUUGAAAAUCAAAUGCUUUUUUACAGAGAAAUCAGUGACCAACAAGUAUGUUAACAACAAAAAAAUUGUUAUUAUUUUUUAACAUUAUUUAUGAUAAUAUGUUUUCAGUCUACAGAAUUGUAACAUUUUCUAAGAGCAUUCAUUUGUAAAAUUACUGGAAACAUAAUAGUCAUAUUAUCUUUUGAAUUUCUUUGUACCCUAACAGCUUCUCCUGUUUCUCUACGGCCCCUUUAGUUUGAAGGUAGAAUGUGCAAUGUAAAGAUGUCAGAGAGAAGUUUAUAGCAGUACAGCUUAUCUCAGGAAACAAGAAAUAUCUUAAAUAAACAACCUAGCUUUCUACCUAAAGGGACUAGAGAAAGAAGGACAAAACCCAGAGUUAGUAGAAGGAAAGAAAUCAUAAAGAUCAAAGCAGAAGUAAAUGAAAUAGAGACAAAUAAAACUGUAGAAAAGAUCAAUGACACUAAAAGCUGGUUCUUUGAAAAGAUCAAUAAACCUGAUAAACUGUUAGUCAGACUCUAGGGAGAAAGCCCAAAUCAAUAAAACUAGAAAUGGAAAAGGAGAAAUUACAGCCAACAGCACAGAAAUAAAAAAGACCACUAAGAGAUUACUACAAUCAACUAUAUGCCAAUAAAAUGGACAACAUGGAAGAAAUAGAAAAAUUCUUAGGUACAAUCCCCCCAGACUGAACCAGAAAAAAUAGAAAAUAUGA
rnacentral:lncRNA from 1 species